UAGUGGCGACGGGUGAGUAACACGUGAGUAACCUGCCCUUGACUCUGGGAUAAGCCUGGGAAACCGGGUCUAAUACUGGAUACGACCUUCCCGCGCAUGCGGUGUUGGUGGAAAGCUUUUGUGGUUUUGGAUGGACUCGCGGCCUAUCAGCUUGUUGGUGGGGUAAUGGCCUACCAAGGCGACGACGGGUAGCCGGCCUGAGAGGGUGACCGGCCACACUGGGACUGAGACACGGCCCAGACUCCUACGGGAGGCAGCAGUGGGGAAUAUUGCACAAUGGGCGCAAGCCUGAUGCAGCGACGCCGCGUGAGGGAUGAAGGCCUUCGGGUUGUAAACCUCUUUCAGUAGGGAAGAAGCCGCUCUUUCGGGGGUGGUGACGGUACUUGCAGAAGAAGCGCCGGCUAACUACGUGCCAGCAGCCGCGGUAAUACGUAGGGCGCAAGCGUUAUCCGGAAUUAUUGGGCGUAAAGAGCUCGUAGGCGGUUUGUCGCGUCUGCCGUGAAAGUCCGGGGCUUAACCCCGGAUCUGCGGUGGGUACGGGCAGACUAGAGUGCAGUAGGGGAGACUGGAAUUCCUGGUGUAGCGGUGAAAUGCGCAGAUAUCAGGAGGAACACCGAUGGCGAAGGCAGGUCUCUGGGCUGUAACUGACGCUGAGGAGCGAAAGCAUGGGGAGCGAACAGGAUUAGAUACCCUGGUAGUCCAUGCCGUAACGUUGGGCACUAGGUGUGGGGGACAUUCCACGUUUUCCGCGCCGUAG
rnacentral:rRNA from 1 species